rnacentral:rRNA from 1 species
GAUGAACGCUGGCGGUCUGCUUAACACAUGCAAGUCGAACGGAAUCCUUCGGGAUUUAGUGGCGGACGGGUGAGUAACGCGUGAGAAUCUGCCUUCAGGUUCGGGACAACAGCUGGAAACGGCUGCUAAUACCGGAUGUGCCGAGAGGUGAAAGCUUUAGUGCCUGAAGAUGAGCUCGCGUCUGAUUAGCUAGUAGGAGUGGUAAUGGCACCCCUAGGCGACGAUCAGUAGCUGGUCUGAGGGGAUGAUCAGCCACACGGGGACUGAGACACGGCCCAGACUUCUACGGGGGGCAGCAGUGGGGAAUUUUCCGCAAUGGGGGAGAGCCUGACAGAGCAAGACCGCGUGGGGGGAGAAGGUCUGUGGAUUGUAAACCUCUUUUGACGGGGAAGAAGACAGUGACGGUACCCAUCGAAUCAGCCUCGGCUAACUCCGUGCCAGCCGCCGCCGUAA